rnacentral:rRNA from 1 species
UAUAAGAUAUUUCUAAAAACUUAAAAUAUUUGGCGGUAAAUAUAUUUUUUAGAGGAACUUGUAUUGUAAUCGAUAAUCCUCGUUUAAUUUUACCUUAAUUUAUUUAUUAAUAUAUCGUUGUUUAGAAAUUUUUUAUUGAAUUAAUUUUCUUUAUUCUUUAUGAGAUAAAAAUCAAAUCAAGGUGUUAUUAUAUUAAGGUUUAUUAUGAGUUACAUUUAAUUUUAUUAAUUGUUGAAUAAUUUAUUUAAAUGUAUAUUUGAAAUUGGAUUUAAUUGUAAAUAAUUAUUAAAUUGAAUUAUUGAAUUUAUUCUUAUUUGUGU